rnacentral:Y_RNA from 1 species
GGUUGGUCCAAGUGCAGUGGUAUUUACAACUAAUUGAUCACAACCAGUUACAGAUUCCUUUGUUCCUUCUCCACUCCCACUGCUUCACUUCACCAGCCUUAA